AAAUUACUCCCUCCGCCCCAAAAUUCUUGUCUUAGAUUUGUCUAGAUACAGAUCUAUCAAGUCACAUUUUAGUAUUAGAUACAUCCGUAUCUAGACAAAUCUAAGACAAGAAAUUUGAGGGAGUAGUUG
rfam:Triticum aestivum genome assembly, contig: Triticum_aestivum_CS42_TGACv1_scaffold_232188_3B